GCCCUGGUAGCUUAACUGGUAAAGCGCCCAUCCUGCAUUGCACUUUUAAUGGGUGAAUGGAGGUUCGAGUCCUUCCCAGGGUA